rnacentral:rRNA from 1 species
CAGCAGCCGCGGUAAUACGUAGGGUGCGAGCGUUAAUCGGAAUUACUGGGCGUAAAGCGUGCGCAGGCGGUUUGUUAAGACAGAUGUGAAAUCCCCGGGCUUAACCUGGGAACUGCAUUUGUGACUGGCCGGCUAGAGUAUGGCAGAGGGAGGUGGAAUUCCACGUGUAGCAGUGAAAUGCGUAGAUAUGUGGAGGAACACCGAUGGCGAAGGCAGCCUCCUGGGCCAAUACUGACGCUCAUGCACGAAAGCGUGGGGAGCAAACAGGAUUAGAGACCCCAGUAGUCCCUGUCUCUUAUAC